AAUAAAUAGCUUAGCUGGCGAAAUUAUUACAUUUUAUACCCAUCUCUCUUCUAUCAAUAUUUUUUUGCUGUGUGGGUUCAAUCAAAUAAGAGCAAUGUCUUUUCUUCCUUUGGAUUCUCCGAUCAACGACGGUCUGCCAUUUUCUCAAACAUCUUCUCUCUAAUCAUCAUAAAACAGGCGAAGAAAGAAGCAUGGCGAGAAUAGAACAACAAAUAAAAAAACUGCUAAUAACAGUCCCAAGAAAUGAAGAUCUAAAAGACUCAGCUAAUGGGUUAGCAAAAAUGAGUCUGAGUCCCCGAGACAAGCCACCAAAAAUCCCACCAUCUGCUCUUUCUAUAGUUUUUGUGCACACAAUUACAGUUAAAAAAAGCCGAAAGGAAAACUUAGUUUUUGUUGAAAAGCUUUGAUCUUGGAUGAAAGUAAUUGAAUUAAAUUUGUGGUUUAAAUCUGUCCAAGUUGCUAAUAAAGAAGCUGAGGAACAAGACCGUAGAGAUGGGUAUCUUUGUUGUGAUGAUUCUGCUAUUUGCUUUUUGGUUUAAUUUUAUGGCCUUAAUAUGCGUAUGUUUGUUUGGUUAAUUUUGAUGAUUAUCGGGAUCUGGGUGGCUUAAAGUUUUGACAUGAAGAAUAGUAAUGCUUAGUCUAAUCACUGCUUUGACAUUUGUUACUGCAACAUAAUUUGCAACUAGAUUUUAUUUGGGUAGUUUCAGAACUAUGGUUCUUUCUACUAAUAUGAUCAAUUUUGUUGGUUUUGUAUGAUAUUAGGGGACUGUGUUUUGUGAAUUUGUGAGAUUGGAAAUGACAAUGGUUUUCAUGCUCUUUUGGGUUUAUUUGAUGAACAUUCAAUCCCUUGGGUUUAUCCUUUUA